rnacentral:tRNA from 1 species
GGAAGCUGUGCCCGAGUAUUUAAGGAUUACUUUGAUAGAGUACACAACAGGGGCUAAAUUCCCCUCACUUCCC